CGAACGCUGGCGGCGUGCUUAACACAUGCAAGUCGAACGGAAAGGCCCUGCUUUUGUGGGGUGCUCGAGUGGCGAACGGGUGAGUAACACGUGAGUAACCUGCCCUUGACUUUGGGAUAACUUCAGGAAACUGGGGCUAAUACCGGAUAGGAGCUCCUGCUGCAUGGUGGGGGUUGGAAAGUUUCGGCGGUUGGGGAUGGACUCGCGGCUUAUCAGCUUGUUGGUGGGGUAGUGGCUUACCAAGGCUUUGACGGGUAGCCGGCCUGAGAGGGUGACCGGCCACAUUGGGACUGAGAUACGGCCCAGACUCCUACGGGAGGCAGCAGUGGGGAAUAUUGCACAAUGGGCGGAAGCCUGAUGCAGCAACGCCGCGUGCGGGAUGACGGCCUUCGGGUUGUAAACCGCUUUCGCCUGUGACGAAGCGUGAGUGACGGUAAUGGGUAAAGAAGCACCGGCUAACUACGUGCCAGCAGCCGCGGUGAUACGUAGGGUGCGAGCGUUGUCCGGAUUUAUUGGGCGUAAAGGGCUCGUAGGUGGUUGAUCGCGUCGGAAGUGUAAUCUUGGGGCUUAACCCUGAGCGUGCUUUCGAUACGGGUUGACUUGAGGAAGGUAGGGGAGAAUGGAAUUCCUGGUGGAGCGGUGGAAUGCGCAGAUAUCAGGAGGAACACCAGUGGCGAAGGCGGUUCUCCGGGCCUUUCCUGACGCUGAGGAGCGAAAGCGUGGGGAGCGAACAGGCUUAGAUACCCUGGUAGUCCACGCUGUAAACGGUGGGUACUAGGUGUGGGGUCCAUUCCACGGGUUCCGUGCCGUAGCUAACGCUUUAAGUACCCCGCCUGGGGAGUACGGCCGCAAGGCUAAAACUCAAAGGAAUUGACGGGGCCCCGCACAAGCGGCGGAGCAUGCGGAUUAAUUCGAUGCAACGCGUAGAACCUUACCUGGGUUUGACAUGGAUCGGGAGUGCUCAGAGAUGGGUGUGCCUCUUUUGGGGUCGGUUCACAGGUGGUGCAUGGCUGUCGUCAGCUCGUGUCGUGAGAUGUUGGGUUAAGUCCCGCAACGAGCGCAACCCUUGUUCACUGUUGCCAGCACGUUAUGGUGGGGACUCAGUGGAGACCGCCGGGGUCAACUCGGAGGAAGGUGGGGAUGACGUCAAGUCAUCAUGCCCCUUAUGUCCAGGGCUUCACGCAUGCUACAAUGGCUGGUACAGAGAGUGGCGAGCCUGUGAGGGUGAGCGAAUCUCGGAAAGCCGGUCUCAGUUCGGAUUGGGGUCUGCAACUCGACCUCAUGAAGUCGGAGUCGCUAGUAAUCGCAGAUCAGCAACGCUGCGGUGAAUACGUUCCCGGGGCUUGUACACACCGCCCGUCAAGUCAUGAAAGUUGGUAACACCCGAAGCCGGUGGCCUAACCGUUGUGGGGGAGCCGUCGAAGGUGGGACUGGUGAUUAGGACUAAG
rnacentral:rRNA from 1 species